AUUGAACGCUGGCGGCAGGCCUAACACAUGCAAGUCGAACGAGUGGCGGACGGGUGAGUAAUGUCUGGGAAACUGCCUGAUGGAUGGGGAUAACUACUGGAAACGGUAGCUAAUACCGCAUACCAUCAGAUGUGCGCAGAUGGGAUUAGCUAGUUGGUGGGGUAACGGGUCACCAAGGCGACGAUCCCGAGCUGGUCUGAGAGGAUGACCGGCCACACGGGAACGUGGACACGGUCCAGACUCCUACGGGAGGCAGCAGGGGGGAAUAUUGGGCAAUGGGCGAAAGCCUGAUGCAGCCAUGCCGCGUGUAUGAGGAGGGCCUUAGGGUUGUAAAGUACUUACAGCGGGGAGGCGUUACCUGCAGAAGAAGCGCCGGCUAACUCCGUGCCAGCAGCCGCGGUAAUAC
rnacentral:rRNA from 1 species